AAUAGAUACCCGGGUAGUCCACGCCGUAAACUAUGGAUGCUAGCUGUUAUGAGUAUCGACCCUCGUAGUAGCGAAGCUAACGCGUUAAGCAUCCCGCCUGUGGAGUACGAGCGCAAGCUUAAAACAUAAAGGAAUUGACGGGGACCCGCACAAGCGGUGGAGCGUGUUGUUUAAUUCGAUGAUAAGCGUAGAACCUUACCAAGGCUUGACAUCCCUGGAAGGUCUCCGAAAGGAGACUGUGCCUUCGGGAAUCAGGUGACAGGUGCUGCAUGGCCGUCGUCAGCUCGUGUCGUGAGAUGUUUGGUUAAGUCCAUCAACGAGCGCAACCCUUAUAAAUAGUUGAAUUUUUCUAUUUAGACCGCCUCGGUAACGGGGAGGAAGGAGGGGAUGACGUCAGGUCAGUAUUGCCCUUAUGCUUUGGGCUACAAACACGCUACAAUGGCCGGUACAAAGGGCUGCCAACCCGCGAGGGGGAGCAAAUCCCAUCAAAACCGGUCCCAGUUCGGAUAGCAGGCUGAAACUCGCCUGCUUGAAGUCGGAACCGCUAGUAACGGUG
rnacentral:rRNA from 1 species